rnacentral:sRNA from 1 species
UGUUGAUCGCUACAUGCAGUCUUAAU